UCGAGCGCUUACGGAAGAAGGUUUGGUCCGAAAUAGUCGCAUACCGAUAUCGAGCCUAAUGUGAAAUCUAUCGGUUUUCCCGGGGAUAAAGGAGUCAAAGGAGGUUGGCGAGUGCAGCUCCCCGGGGCUUUGUGCUACCCGGUAUCGAGGCGAGCAUUGUUGCGGGGCAACAAUGUCGUUCAAUCUUGGAAGAUAUCGGAUAAAAUCGAGAUUUCCGGUGAAUGAAGCUCACCUUACUUCAUUCACAAGUGAAUUAGCAACGAAAUCGACAAGCAUCGACCUUCUUCACGGCCCCCAGAGAAGGAGCCCGGUCCCCUCUGUCAAGUGGAGGAGAAUUUCGAUUGGCAAACUAACCCUUGUCUGCAAGGACGAUACUACUUCUAAAAAGUCGCCAAAAAUUGAGCACCGCUUGAAAGGGGAAGAUGUGAAGUGGGGGUAAAGGUGGUAGAAGCAAAAGUAAGUCCUCGGAGCAGCGGGCAACAUUCAAGUGCGAAGGUACAAAGCUUGAACCACACAGUUGAACUUUUUCUGAUCCCAAAAAGGACGAGGAUGCUUUAGGGAGACUUGAACCCUCGGGUGAAUCACGAGUACGUGCGCAUCGUGCAAACCUAUAAUAAAUUUCGCUAGUGAUGUUAUAGUUUAAUCCGCGAAACCCCCGCGGUCAAGUGGACAAUAAAUUUAUUUCGAAGGGUCGAACCUAACGCGCGAGGCACUGUCAAACUACGUGAUAACCCCGACCCAUGGAACAAUGGCUACGUAACCUUAUGAAUUAUUCAAAUCGCAAUGGAUUAUUAUGUGGAACUAUGUCCUUGGUAUUCGUUUUGCCAUUUCUCGGGCUCUGUUACAAUCGAUCGAGCUGUAAGCCCAACCGCCCUACCUAGGAGUCCAGGAAUCUAGGUAGCCCUGCAGGAGUUGGGAAUAUUUCGGUUCAACGUUUCAUCUCAAAUCGUGUUUUUAAAAUUUAUAAACAAUUCUCGGGAUUGAAACUUUUCGAAGUGAAACGGGAGAAAUUUUUUUACACAAAAAGAACUUUACCGCAUUCUUUCAAAAGAACUGGAACAUUGGUAGCGUAGCUAAACAAAGUCGAAAAGAUUCGGAAAUGAUAAACAUUAUAUUUCAUUUACUGGCAAGUACCAAUUAAUAUACGAAUUUCAAAAAAUGAUUGUUAAAAUACUUAUGUAAGUUACCCUUCCAUGGAAUUGGAAUUUCAAAACUAGGGGAACACACAAUAAUUUUUUGAAGCAAAGAUCUGUUAUUUUUAUUCUUGGUGUGAAUAGAUAGAUGUGCAGUAAUACAGAUAGAUAUAAGUAGGUAUAGGCAGACAAAGCUGGGAACUGUCUUGACCAACGGAAAAAAAAAAAUUACUGGAGAAGAUACGAAGUU
rnacentral:lncRNA from 1 species